GCCAGCGUGGCGCAAUUGGCAGCGCAACUGAUUUGUAAUCAGUCGGUUACCGGUUCGAGUCCGGUCGCUGGCUCCA
rnacentral:tRNA from 1 species